AUACUUACCUGGCAGGGAGAUACCAUGUUUACGAAGGUGGUUUUCCCAGGGCAAGGUUUAUCCUUCGGAUGUACUGACACCUCAAAUGGGGGAAACUUGACUGCAUGAUUUUUGGUGGUGGGAACUGUGUUUAUGUUCUUCUGU
ensembl:snRNA LOC120096774 U1 spliceosomal RNA